ACAGACUGGCUAACCUAGUGAGGAGGACUUUAAACUAGGUUCGAUGGGGAGCAAAGCCAACAGACUCUCUGGAGAGACUUGCUGGUACAUGUGCAAAUCUUGACAGAACUUACUAUCUUAUUCUUCAAAUCUGAAGCCCUGAAGCCUACACCAUGCUUUCUUUAGAAGAGGCAAUCAUCAACUCCCUGGUCUCUGGCUGCAACCUUGCAGAUUUUGGCACCCAGAGGCAACCAUGAGCCAACAGUGAUCUUGAACACUUGAAGCGCUGGGGUUCAUGUUGGAAUCAAGAUAUCUGUGUGGACAAAAGAAGCCUGGUUAUCUUCUGAGGUAAGUGUACCUCAGAGCUCUGACUAAGGUCAACGAAUGUUACUUCUCAGCCACAGCACUUCAAAGAAUCAUGCAGCUGAACUCUCUUAGGUUGUAACCAAUCUUAUUAAUCCAGACUGCUUCACUAUAGCAGUAGCUCUUUCAGCUCAUAUCUGGUGAGUUUGUGCUGUUCUGUAUGGAUAGUUUAGAUGGACUUUCCCUGUGGACCUCACAGAUUUCAUCUUUGUCCUGAUGGAGUGACUGAAUGAUAUUGUCAGCUGGACAUGUCAAAAUUACUUUCCUGGGGUUGAGAACAAGGUGUCAAGUAGGUAGUUCAAUUUGUGAGUCACAUCACAAGGCAGGACUGUGUCCAUAUGUAUGACCAUCUGAGCAGAUGAUAUCUGGAAAUAUUAAUUUACCCAAGUCUUGCAUGUAUCUCCAUUAGCUAUUCUUUUAGAGAGCUCAUGGGACAGAGUCCCCAAUUUGCUCCCUUUGUGCUACUCACGUGGUGCAAGGAGAGCAGAAACCUCUGCUAAAUCUCUGUGUAAGAUAACCCUGACACAGGGGAGUCCUCAGCAGCCUUGACCAACUCCCCCAUUCUUUUGCUCUCAGCGAAAUCUGUACACAGCAAAGAACUUGCCCCAAUGACUCUAAGCGGUAUCUUUAGUAGUACUUUAUUUCCAUGCAAACAGAGAAAGGCACUUUCACACAGCAUAGCCCUGUAUAGGGAAAUAGUUUGAGACUUGCAUAUAAAACACAAAUGAUCAGAAUCAUGAGUGUUUCUACAGCAGGGACAGUGUUAGGCAGGCUGGACACGGUUGGUCACAGAUACGUAACUGGCUUGAGACUAGAUAGGGAGGCAAUUUCAUUCUUCCUUUCAUUGCUUUGUAUAGGGUAACAACUUUUAUUGAUUGACUACGUUUAAAGUAAAUGCUGACACACAAAACACAACCUGUGUAAUAUUAACAUAUGGACAUAUAUCUUAAUGAUUUAUUACAAUAAAUUAUGGCCUUAUAUUUACCAUUACCAGGAUCACCUCACUGUGCCUAUCCAUAGUCUCACACUUGAGACAUGCAAUGGGGAUGUCUGAAUGGGCCCCAUUGUCUGUGUGGAAUUUAUAGUUGCUGAGGAAUAGCUUUAAUGUAAUUGCCUCUUUUGUCCCUACUUCAGCUUGUCCUCUCUUCACAUGAGAGGACAAUAGCUUGGUCUUUUGGGCAAGCUCCAUCCUUUACUUUAUUUCCUUUUCAAGGAUGCGUCUUCUUCCGUCUAGUAGUCUAUCUUCAUUGGUAAAUAGCAUAGUAUUUAGUGAGAGUAAUAAUCAGAGCAUGCCCAUGCAGUCAGGUUUUUUUUUAAAUCCAUAGGCCAUGGCCAGUUAUAAAGGAAAGUAGCUGGUGAGCACUUAAUGAUAGUUUGCCAGUUUUUAAAGAGAGACUGUCAUCAAGUCAAAAAUGUAACCUUAAUAACAAUUAAGUUAAAAAAAAAAAAGGCAUCCUCAGUCUGAAGUUCUAUUAUCUUAUCUAAAAAUAAGGACUAUAGCAGGCUACAGUCUCAUCUGGGUGACCCACCAACCACAAGCCUCAGGUGCUGUUUGAUUGCAGGUACAAAAUAAAACCAAGCCAGCAGGUCUACAUUUUGUCCUGCAACCCUUAGCAGUGCCCCUUGAAGGCAGUUCUUUUCAGUGUCUCUUAAGGGCCUACAGAUGGAAUACAUAUUGUGUCAAUAAAGGUAUCGUGAGCAUCUCCCUAAAGAUUUUCACAAUACACAGAUAGCAACAGUACUCUUAGAGCUCUUAUAUUGCACCAACAAUUUAUUCAGUGGUGCUUUGAAGUUGGGUUGAGGUACUUGGAGCCAUGAUGCACUUUGAAGCAGCUGGAAACAUCUUCAAAUCUUCAAGGCAAAGAUUAAAACAGCUACCAAGCUGUAAGCAACUGUUCAGGGCCUCUUUUCUUAUAGAGCUGCCAGGGGGUAAAAAAACCAACCAAACAAAUACAUCUCUUUGUGUUACUUAUGGCCCCCAUCACUACCAUAUGUGAGAGCCCUAUGAUCUUGAAUGUAUUUUAUCCUCACAACACCUUUGUGAGGUAAAGAAGUGCUAUUAUUCCCAUUAUACAGAUGGGGAAGUGAGGCACAGAGAACUUAGUAGAGACCCGUGGCACCUAAAUUUGCCUAAUUAAAGACCCUGUUUGGAGAGAUGGUGAACAACUGCAUAUCCCACUGAAGUCAAUAGAACUGUGGAUACUUGAGCACCUUUGAAAGUCUGGUGACUUAUUUACAAGAUAUAUCUAAAUAUUAAUUUAGGUGCCUAAUUUUAGACAAUAUUGACAAAUUUGGCAGUUUUCCAACCACAUAAUUGUUACUUUUAUUAGCAUUUUUCCAAAGAAUCCAAAAGGCACAAAUCCAUAUUAUUGACUAAUAGCCUGUAAAACUUUGCCUUAAAACGUAACAUUUUUGAGUUACGAGAGUUCAGAAAAGAACCUGAACCCAGACAACUUAUUUUUUGGCACUCUUAGAACUUACAAAACAGAUGGAUUUCCCCCUACCCCCACCAUUUUACAAAGAAUUUGCUCCUAGGCUGAAACCUUUUAACUAGAGCAUGUUUUUACAGCCAACCUCUAAAGUCCUCAAAGUACAGGGUUUACAGUAUAAUGGAAGCACUGACAAAGCCUUAACUGUAGCAAUGGUAUGGAUGUUGCUAUAGGUGGAUAAUACCCAGAGUUAUUUUUUCUCAUUAGACAUAAAUUUAAUAAUUUGAAGAUACAAGAAAAACUUUCCUCUUGGUGGUAGGAGUGGUAAUGGUGGAGAAAUGGUCUAAAUCUAUUUUAUAUAAUAUUCUUUUUAAUAACAGUGUCUAUUAAAGACAUCUGUUGAAAGUCUGUAAUGCUGAUUUAAUAGGGAGAAAAAAUAACAGUUCUUUAGCAAUCCUGUCUUCAGUUUAACAUUAUGAACUGUUAAGAGAGGGUUUAUGUGUAUGACAUUAUUAACUGGAAUUCUGCUCAAAUUGAAAUCAGGCCCACUGCCUUGACUGAUCCUCAGUAUGUUAGCUUUUUGCAAUAAAAACUUUUAACUAGACAAAAGAAUUAGUAUAAUUUUAUAUUCAUUAGGAUUUUCAAAAUUCACCAGGCUGUGCAAAGAAAUUUCUAACCACCUAUACUCUGACUUGUAAGAUAUAACCUCUCUAGCAAUAUAAAGCUGCAACCAAAAAAAUCAUUGAUUUACUAUACUAGAUCAUUACUGUAACUAUGGCGAGAGAGAAAAUCCACCUCCAAAAUUAUUGAAUUAUAAAUUGUAAUAAAACACCCAAUAUUUUAUACACACGUUGUCAGGCUUGAAAGAGACAUGUUUUAGUUACAAGAGGGACUAGGGCAGACAGAGUUGGAGACAGAAGUCCAAAGGCCCUGUCCUGGAAGAAAGCCUACUUACAGAAAUUAAAUGCUGAAUUUAAAUUAAUCAUGUUGGUCUCUGGCUAUGUUUAACAUCACUGUAAUUUAAUUUUAAAACUUAAAUGAUAGAGAUUAAAAUAAACAUACAACACGUCUUUUUAUCACUUGAAUUUGAAGAGACUUCAUGUUUUCCAUGCCUGUGGCCUUGAUGGUUUUUUUGGCAGCACCGCCAGUGAUAAAAGGAAUAAUUCACUACUGUCAGGGAAUUUGGCUGUUUCAUCACCUGCAUGAAAGGCCAGCAUAACUCCAUGGAGAUUUCUGUUUAAAUGAGUUAUAUAGUUUCUUCAUAUACUUUUUGACUGAAAACUGAUAACUCAGGCAAUGAAUUAUUUGGCAUUCAUUUCUGAGCGACUCCUUUCUUUUUACAAAUCAUAGAGCAUCUUUCACGUAUCCGUUUUUAAAGCUUUCAUAUAGACUACAGUGAAUUAAUUUCCAAUAUGUCCAUUAGAUUAGCAAAGGGAUAGUAAAAUUAGACUUUUCUGUCAACCCUUUGCUUUGUUUGCAGCAUUUGUUGACAAUGAGAGUUGAGUUCCAGAAGUAGUAUUGAAAAAUUUGAAAUGUAUUGCAAAAGGUGCCUCUUUUCAAAACUAAGCAGGGCUGUCACUAGGGGAUUCACAACUACCAGUAGAGGCAUUUCCAAUCUUUCCCCAAAAGCAAAAUGCAUUAACUGAGGAGCCAGAGACUAGAACCCCUGGAAAAAUAUGGAUUCGGGGGGUAAGGGUAUGGAAAUGUGUGUUCCAGUUGAUAAGGGAAGCAUUUAAAUGACAGCCCCUUCUAGAAAUGUUACAAUGAUUAAUACAGCCAAGGCCAGCCCUAUACUAUCUGACCCUCGCUGUACUGGUGCUCUAGGCAGAGAUUUUAUGGUGCCCAAACUCUCAAAUCAGCAAGUGUCCCUCAUCUUUUUUUAUUCCCUGUUCCUAGGGCUAAUCUUUCAUCUCUUAUCACUCUUCUUCUCCCCUACCUCUCUUCUCUUUACCCUUGCAAAGGUGGGGAACUCAUCUUCUGACAGAUCAGUUUCCUUCCUCAACCCCAAAUCUGAGGAAUGUGAUCCUGGGGUACAGAAUCUUCUGUGUAAAUUAUCUUUUCCUGCAGCUCCCACUCUGGGGUUGGGUUCUCGACUACAAUGCUUUUCCACUGAACAGCUUCUUCCUGCAGCGAUAUUUCUCCUAGAGACAUGAUGCCCCUUGAAAUGUAGCAUUUUAUGUACAAUAGCUACCUAUCAAUCCUAUGGAUUAAACCACCUGGCCUGAAUACAUAUCACUGGACACAAAACAAGCCAAACCUUUACAAAGACAAAAAGGGAGAAGUGUAAUUAAAACAAUUAGACAAUGUAACACAUACCUAGGUUCAGAAUGUCUUUAUUACAGAUUUAAACACCACAGACACUUAUUUAGGUUAUAAGGCUGUUGUACACAAAGCUUAUUGUGUGUAUUUGAUCUGUGCUAUGGGGCUGACUGCAUUUAGUGUGCUUUGCCAUUGACUUCAAUGGGAGCCGGAGUCGGCUCUGUGUGUAGUUACGAAGAAGAGCUCUGGGUAGCUCAAAAGCUUGUCUCUUUCACGAACAGAAGUUGGUCCAAUAAAAGGUAUUCCCUCACCUCCCCAUGUGACUUGACUGUCGUUUUAUUUGUUUAGGCCCCCAUGUUCCCAGAUGGCUGGGGAGUACUCAGUACAAUACUGAGGAAGUACAUAGGUGACCUCUUCUUUAAACACCCAUUUUUCUCUGUCCUUCACAAACUUGCUUUUCUCACUUUUAUUACAGUAAUCUAUUUACGUCUGAAAAAUCUGUAUCCUACAGCUGAUGUUGCAUUUACUAUUUAUGUUAAAACACUUAAUCCCACCUACUUGAAAACUUCCUCCUUAUUGGGUCGUUGUUGUUAUUGUAGGCUGAAACUGGAAGUGACAGCUAUAAUUAAGCUUUUGAAUAUUUAUAUGACAAUAAUGUCCAGAGGCUCCAGUCAGGACUGAGACCUGUUUGUGUUAGGUGCUGUACAAAUAUACACAAAAACAUGGUUCCCGCUUUAAAGUUGCAGGGUCAGGACCUAAAGGUGGUCACCAAAAACAAGUGAGAAGAGAUGAAUGACAAACAGAGGAUUGCCUUUCUUCACUGUCUGUCUCUCAUUUCUUAUCCCUUUCUUCUGACUUUUAGUUUUCCCAUCUGUCCCCAGUCUUCCAUUUUACAGGGUUUUUAAAAUUGUGUUUUUUACUGUGAAUUUCAUGUUCGUGAAGGAGGGGAACUGAUAGCAGGCAUGAGCCAAGUGUUCUGUUGGCAGGAACUGAUAUGUAGCCUCUGUUACUGCUCAGUAAAGGACAGCUAACCCUUGGAUCUCAGUUGCACCCCCAAAUUCAUUGCACCAGUUGAAGCAGUGCUUUAAAAAAAUGCUGCUGUUUGAGACUCAAAGCUGCCUGCUACACCUGAUUGAGCAGUAAUAGGGACACAUCUUGUGGGAAUGGCAUACACUCUACAGAUGUAAGAGGAGGGUUCAAAACGGAUCAUGGUAGUUUCAUUGCUAUUUCAGUGAGGCUCCUUUGGUAUGAUGCCCACCUACUGAGGGCUUGUCUACACUACUGCUUAAGUCAAUGUAACUUACGUCGCUCAGGAGUGUGAAAAAGCCACCCCCCUAAGCGAUGUAAGUUACAGCAACUUAAAGCAGUGUCUAGCUUCCGCCUCUCGUUGAGGUGUUCAUCCCAUCACCUGAGACGCUACAUUAUGUAGCGCAGUAGUGAAGACAAGCCCUCAGUCUAAGGUGGGUCCUCCCAUCUAUUCUAAGACUUGGGUCUUGUUAUAUUAGGGAUGUGCAAAGAUUCUGACAUUCAAGUCUGAAUUUGUAUUUGUGAUCCUGACAUUCAGGUUUAUUGAUGUUCGUUUUUCUACCUGACUAAAACUCUACUUUAUUUCCUAAUUCAUAUUC